rnacentral:sRNA from 1 species
UGGUUCCACCAUCGUAUUAGUUGUAUGUGUGUGUGUGUGUAUUGUAUGCGUGUGAUGUAAGGUCAUUCGCGUGAAAAUAUCAGCGAGGAAAAAAUCGAAUUUUUGUGUUUUGUGUGCUAGGUAAUUUCCGAAAAGCGUGCAAAAUCAAAAAGUUUAAUCAAAUGCCAAUGCAUCAGCGGUGUACGUGUGUAUAUUAACAAGCGGUGAACAUGUGAAAAAUUGUCAAGAAAUCAAAGGUGCUUGGUUGCCCAACGCAAAAAUUGUGACGAAAAGCACCAAAGUACUCUCGCACACACACACACACACAUGUGCUUAUACGCAUACUCUUGCAUGGCCAGAGGGAGCUUGGAGAGCUAGAACCCAACCUAGAGUUGUCAACGCUGUGCGAAGAAUUUCGUCAUUGAGAAGAAGAGUGUUUGAGCAUGUGUGUGUCUGUGUUUUGUGCGUGCCUUGUCACAGUGUGUGUGUGCGUGCUGGCGUGUGUGUGUUGGUAGUUUGUUCUCUUUGGUAGUAAAAUACAAAAGAAAAAUCAUCUCGACGGAAAAAUGUGAAAAAAUGUACAUAAUUCCGUACCUCAAGUAUGCAGCCAGUGCCCGCCUCCCUGCCAGUGCCCACCCCAAAUCAAAUUGAGAUGAAACACCGCGCUACCGAUUGAAAAACUAUUACAUAAAUAGUGCAAAGUGUAAAUGUUAUUGAAGGCAAAAAGAAGCGACGCCGCGCACGCUGUCGUCAUCGCCUGCUAAAAAAAAAAGAGAAAUAAAGAAAGAGAAGAAGAACGGUGAGGAGGAGGAAGAGCAGCCCCCGCUAAGUACCGCUAGCCAGCCAGGCAGCGAGCGGCCGAACGAAAACGCGUUACUUAUUUUUGCGAAAAAUACCAAUUGUUUGUGCUUCCAGUAUAUGCAUACGUACAUAAAUAUAUGUAUAAGUGAUGUUUGAUGAACAAAUCCAUUACAUAUAGGAUAUCGACGAAUUAUUGACCAUAUAAUGUGGAAAAUAAACUAAUAAUAUUUGCCAUGCUUGUGUGGAGUGUGGAGUGGGAGUGUGGUGGAGGGGAGUGGAAGGAAGUGAAAAGGAGCGGUGGAAUAGUGCGGGUGGGUGCGCCUGUGUGAGUGACCUCGCGUACAUGUGUCGCGUGCCUGCGACGGUGUUGGUGUGUGUGUGCGGUGGCAAGGAGUGUCAUGCGUAUAUUUUGCUGCCCCCCUGUUUCUUCUACUUCCCCCCUGCUGACCCACUGGCAAAGCCUAUCGACAACCACAGAGCAGCAGCAGCGGCGGCAGAGGCAGUGCUCCUUUUGCUCCAGCGAGUUUUAUCUUGUUUUCCCCAUUUUAAUCAUAUGCGGGCGCAGAGGAGAGACAACGACAAUCACGUCAUCCAGCCUGCGCCAUGACACACCAACAUCAACAUCAAUACAGUGAAUAAUGACAGCUAAAGAACGGCUUUGAACAGGUUUUGCCUCCUAUAAGCAGUGAGAAAUUAUGUUUUCUAUACGAUUUGUAUGGAAAAUUACAUUGCAUACCUCUAGGUCUCGGCAAAUAAUUUGAAAUCAUGAUUAUCGUGAUUCACGAAAGCCUGGUUUUACUGUACUCAACAUCAAUGAGAAAACACACACACGUGUGCACUAUAAAGUCAUUUGAAUGAACUUUUAUUGGCCCAGUGCCGCAGCGGCAGGGAGCCUGGGGGAAAUGAGAAUGGGAUGGGAUUGGGAUGUCCCCCGCCCGCUCUGGGGAUGCGUGAAUUUGAUUGCUAUUUCGAACGCCAUACGAGCUCAACUAAGCCUUUUAAUUAAACCAAUUAAAUAUGUUUAAUUCAUUUAAAUUCUCACUUGUUAAUAUUUGUUCAGUCCCCACAUUUGACCGACCGCCCCCUCCUUCCGACGUUCUGUCCGUCAGGCCAGGCCGAGCAUCGUCGGCACACUCUUUGUGUGUGUGUGUUAGUGGUUUGCGUGUGUGAGAAAGAGAGCAAAUAAACUGAGUCAUGGCUGACGAUGACGUUAUGCUGCUUAGCUGCGGUUAGAAGCAAUUUGUCUCCAAAGUGUUUAUGCUCAAAGUUUGCCAAUAAAGAACGGCGAAAGAAAAGAAACUUUCCUAGAAAUGUGCCCAACACAUAUACACAAACACACAAUUCCAUUCGAUUGACCUCGAAGCAGCUGGAAAGCAAAUCGAUAGUAUUGUUCGAUCGAUAACAUGUCACGCCGCCUGCUCUGGGGCCGCUACCUCUGCGCUCUCUCCCUCUCUCUCUUUUUUGCAUUACGGCAAACAGCUGAUUGCGCUGCCGCACAUUUUUAUAUUUUUCUCGCAAAAUUUGUAAAAAUAAAUAUAGUUGACGACGACGUUGUGUGUAUUCGGGCUGUUCGCCUUUUGUUCCGCUAGCGGUACUAAAUUAGACAAGUUCCCUGCUCAAAAGGAAAACAUGUACAAACCGAACAGAACCGCUUGAAACUGCUUGCAGAUCGAAGCAGUGGUCAGUUUUUGGACUGCGUCGGGGACUGGUCGUGGAAAUAGUUAGUAUUUGAUUAAAGUACUGCAUUGAGGCUUGCUUUAUCUUAUUGUGAUAUGAUUCUCCUGACACAUGACGGAAACACUGGCCUGCUGCUGUUGCCCUGCACGUCGUGUCGGGGCAAACAAAGAGCGGUUCAGCUGAGGGGCUCUAUCUUCCUCUGAUUGUUUGUCCACCCGCUCUGCUGUAGUUUUCAGCCGCAAUACGAAACUCGAGGCUAGAUAACUAAGAUCCGAGCUAGGCGGCCGCUUUCCGUUAUCAGUAUCCGCAGACAUCAUGCGGCGGAACAGCAAAAUCCAACUGGGAAUGUUUUUACAAUGAUCUAUCCAUCGAAUUGCUUGCUGGAAUUUUCUACUGAUAAAGUAAAUCGAGGGGAUGGGAGCAAUGUCCAAAUGGUAGGGCUUUUCUCAUGCAUAUUUUUCGUCUCAAAUGGAUCGACCAUUUCUCACUGCCAAAUCCCUGAAAUAAAUGCCGUGAAUAUUCGAAUAAAAGAGUGUCACACUGUAGAGGGAAUUCAACUUGAAACUAUUCCAAACAAUCGCCCCCUCCGUUGUUGUGUACUGGUAUUUGUGUACACGAUUUGUGGAUCACCUUUGUUGUGCAGGAGUACAGCAGGGAAUUACUGUUAUUUGAGUAGGUUUCGCCAUUUUGUGUAACAAUCCCUAAUCGGGCCUGGUCAAGAUAACGGGCCGCCCCAACUAUUAAGAUAAGGCUCUCAAGUACAAUCCACUUACUCACUCGAACUCACUCACACACACACACACACAGAGAGAGAAAUCGCUGUCGCAGCGCCCGUGUUUGGUCAGAAGCAGCAGCGCUAGGAGGAGGCUACUCUCUCACGCCUGGUCAUGUGCGGCAUUCAUUCCGUUGCUCCAAUCCGUUGCGUUCGCUCGCUCGUUUCGUGCCGUUCCGUUCCGUUCGUUCGCUCGUUCGUUCGUUCGUUCAUCUCUGUUCCCCGUGUGUCCGCUUUUGCCGCCGUGGCCAUAGUUUUGGUCCGUUUUUGUAGUGUAACUGUUUUGAAUACAUAAAAUUAAAACCGAACGAAACACACACAACAGAGAACAGAGAAAGUAGAGGCACAAGAAGAAUUCGAAUAAUACGAAUUUUCCUUUAUUUUGCGAAAAUACAUAGGCUAAAAGAAAUUAAAAACAAAUAAAAUAUAGAAGAGCUGGAAGGAAUAGCUGGUUAAAUAAUAAAUAGGAAACAAAUUUCGAAUUGAAAAACAAAACACAAAAAGGAGACGAAAAAA